rnacentral:sRNA from 1 species
CACUGAGACAACUUAUGGACUCUCAUCUGUUGGAAAAUACUUUGCCAAUGAUGAAACAAAGGGUUCUUUCGGUCCCUUAAAAACACUUUUGCCAACAUCCUACACUGUUAAAACUUUGGCCAAAUUUUAAGGAUGUGAUAAUUGAUUCCGAGUACGACCUAUGCAAGAAGGUUCAUGGAAUGCCUUUCUACCAAUGCACUGAAAGAGAUCCACAACUGAAUUAUAUUUUCAACAGAUCAAUGGCUAAUAUUUGCGACAUAGAAAUGAAUAAGAUUCUUGAUGAAUAUAAAGGAUUUGAAGGAGUGUCAA